CAGUAGCCGCGGGAAUACAGAGGGUGCGAGCGUUAAUCGGAUUCACUGGGCGUAAAGCGUGUGUAGGUUGUUGUUCAAGUCAGUUGUGAAAUCCCUGGGCUCAACCUGGGAACUGCUUCUGAGACUGAACGACUAGAGUACGGUAGAGGGUGGUGGAAUUUCCGGUGUAGCGGUGAAAUGCGUAGAUAUCGGAAGGAACAUCAAUGGCGAAGGCAGCCACCUGGGCCUGUACUGACACUGAGACACGAAAGCGUGGGGAUCAAACAGGAUUAGAUACCCCCGUAGUCCCUGUCUCUUAUAC
rnacentral:rRNA from 1 species